UGAAGAUAGGUGACUCGAAGACAUCUGUGC
rnacentral:piRNA from 1 species